rnacentral:rRNA from 1 species
AUUGAACGCUGGCGGCAGGCCUAACACAUGCAAGUCGAGCGGAUGAAGGGAGCUUGCUCCUGGAUUCAGCGGCGGACGGGUGAGUAAUGCCUAGGAAUCUGCCUGGUAGUGGGGGCUAACGUCCGGAAACGGGCGCUAAUACCGCAUACGUCCUGAGGGAGAAAGUGGGGGAUCUUCGGACCUCACGCUAUCAGAUGAGCCUAGGUCGGAUUAGCUAGUUGGUGGGGUAAAGGCCUACCAAGGCGACGAUCCGUAACUGGUCUGAGAGGAUGAUCAGUCACACUGGAACUGAGACACGGUCCAGACUCCUACGGGAGGCAGCAGUGGGGAAUAUUGGACAAUGGGCGAAAGCCUGAUCCAGCCAUGCCGCGUGUGUGAAGAAGGUCUUCGGAUUGUAAAGCACUUUAAGUUGGGAAGAAGGGCAGUAAGUUAAUACCUUGCUGUUUUGACGGUACCAACAGAAUAAGCACCGGCUAACUUCGUG